CAUGUCAGUAGAGGCGCGUGUG
rnacentral:miRNA from 1 species